rnacentral:ncRNA from 2 species
CUCUUAUCAAGAGUGGCAGAGGGACUGGCCCGAUGACGCCCGGCAACCGUUCUAUUAUAGAAUUGGUGCUAAAUCCUGCAAAACCGUUACGGUUUUGAAAGAUAAGAG